rnacentral:rRNA from 1 species
CAGGCCUAACACAUGCAAGUCGAGGGUAAAAAGAGUAGCUUGCUACUUUGCUGACGAGCGGCGGACGGGUGAGUAAUGCUUGGGAAUAUGCCUUAUGGUGGGGGACAACAGUUGGAAACGACUGCUAAUACCGCAUGAUGUCUACGGACCAAAGUGGGGGACCUUCGGGCCUCACGCCAUAAGAUUAGCCCAAGUGGGAUUAGCUAGUUGGUGAGGUAAUGGCUCACCAAGGCGACGAUCCCUAGCUGGUUUGAGAGGAUGAUCAGCCACACUGGGACUGAGACACGGCCCAGACUCCUACGGGAGGCAGCAGUGGGGAAUAUUGCACAAUGGGCGCAAGCCUGAUGCAGCCAUGCCGCGUGUGUGAAGAAGGCCUUCGGGUUGUAAAGCACUUUCAGUAAGGAGGAAAGGUUAAGUGUUAAUAGCGCUUAGCUGUGACGUUACUUACAGAAGAAGCACCGGCUAACUCCGUGCCAGCAGCCGCGGUAAUACGGAGGGUGCGAGCGUUAAUCGGAAUUACUGGGCGUAAAGCGUACGCAGGCGGUUUGUUAAGCGAGAUGUGAAAGCCCCGGGCUCAACCUGGGAACUGCAUUUCGAACUGGCAAACUAGAGUGUGAUAGAGGGUGGUAGAAUUUCAGGUGUAGCGGUG